rnacentral:rRNA from 1 species
CACGUAGGCGGUUUGUUAAGUCAGGGGUGAAAUCCCGGAGCUCAACUCCGGAACUGCCCUUGAUACUGGCAAGCUAGAGUCCGGAAGAGGUGAGUGGAACUCCUAGUGUAGAGGUGAAAUUCGUAGAUAUUCGGAGGAACACCAGUGGCGAAGGCGGCUCACUGGUUCGAUACUGACGCUGAGGUGCGAAAGCGUGGGGAGCAAACA